CUCAGCUCUUUCUCAUUUUCGUCUUAUCCGUUGUCCUUGCAACAACAUCUGCUGUUAUCUCCGGCUUUAGGAGUAAUCCUUCUCCCGAAGUUUAAGUAACAGCUCAGGAUGAGAGCUAAGUGGCGUAAGAAGCGUAUGCGUAGGCUAAAGCGUAAACGCAGGAAGAUGCGUGCGAGGUCCAAGUAGAUCUUUCAUUAUGUGGUUCAUUCUAUUUGGGGUUCAUGGAGUGGAAUGCUUUCAAUAUCCUCGUUUGGCGUGAAUCUUUAACAUAGAAACGAUUUAAAAAAAACCUUGUGUUACAAGAGAAUAAAAAUUACAAAAUUUCAAA